GGCCAAAGUCACACAGCCAAGGAGGAGCCUGCACUCCAGCUCAGAGCUUCUGACCCCCCAGUGCUGCUGGCUUCCCUCAAACAGCAUCAGAGGGCAGAUCUCCCAUGUACUGAUGCAUCUUGUGGCAGCCAAGAGACGCAGAACAGACCACCUGCAUGGCUCUCCAUGGAGGGCAAAGUUGGGGAAUUGUGCAGACCAGCCUCCAGUUCCAGGCUUGGCAGUGAAUCUGAGGAAUACUCACCAACUCGUAUUUAAAAAAAAAAAAAAAAAAAAGCUCUGUUUCCUUCCUGAAUCAAAGGAAAU